rnacentral:lncRNA from 1 species
AUGCUGCAUGUGUAUGGAAAGACUCAGCAGAAUCUAGUAACGUCACAAGCACUGUAUGCUGAACCCUAUCCAGAUUGCGUCCACCCUUCAUGCUGUAUGUGUCAGCGGAUCACAGGUGCAAUUUAUGAUACUUUGAAUACUGAAUCUAAAAGUAGCUGCGACUUCUCGCGAUUUGCUGUUUUAUGGGGGCGAAAGUCAUAAAGACGGUCGAGCGUCGAUGAAAAUUUAAUUUCUAAGUUCCCUAUUUCUUGAAGAGUGAUGUCAAGUGGUCAUAAGACAAAACAAAAUUAUAUUUGCUAGUGGACAACUUUUCACAUAAGUACUGGAUGCAAAGCGUAAGAAUAUUGAAAGGUUUCGAGAAAAUAAUACGCGAAAAUUGCCAACGAGUACAAACAUAAAAGACCUAUUUCGUAUGCUUUGUAUUACUUUGACCCUGUAAUAACAGACCUCAUGGAAUUUUCAUUGAAGAAUG